UACGGGGGGGGCAAGCGUUGUUCGGAAUUACUGGGCGUAAAGGGCGCGUAGGCGGUCAGCACAAGUCAGUUGUGAAAUCUCCGGGCUUAACUCGGAAAGGUCAACUGAUACUGUGCGACUAGAGUGCGGAAGGGGCAACUGGAAUUCUCGGUGUAGCGGUGAAAUGCGUAGAUAUCGAGAGGAACACCUGCGGCGAAGGCGGGUUGCUGGGCCGACACUGACGCUGAGGAGCGAAAGCGUGGGGAGCGAACAGG
rnacentral:rRNA from 1 species